AGCCCAGAGCCUGAAUCAGUGUGUGUGUUAGUGGAAGCGUCUGGAAAGGCGCGCGAUACAGGGUGACAGCCCCGUACACAAAAAUGCACAUGCUGUGAGCUCGAUGAGUAGGGCGGGACACGUGGUAUCCUGUCUGAAUAUGGGGGGACCAUCCUCCAAGGCUAAAUACUCCUGACUGACCGAUAGUGAACCAGUACCGUGAGGGAAAGGCGAAAAGAACCCCGGCGAGGGGAGUGAAAAAGAACCUGAAACCGUGUACGUACAAGCAGUGGGAGCACAGAGCAAUCUGUGUGACUGCGUACCUUUUGUAUAAUGGGUCAGCGACUUAUAUUCUGUAGCAAGGUUAACCGAAUAGGGGAGCCGAAGGGAAACCGAGUCUUAACUGGGCGUUAAGUUGCAGGGUAUAGACCCGAAACCCGGUGAUCUAGCCAUGGGCAGGUUGAAGGUUGGGUAACACUAACUGGAGGACCGAACCGACUAAUGUUGAAAAAUUAGCGGAUGACUUGUGGCUGGGGGUGAAAGGCCAAUCAAACCGGGAGAUAGCUGGUUCUCCCCGAAAGCUAUUUAGGUAGCGCCUCGUGAAUUCAUCUCCGGGGGUAGAGCACUGUUUCGGCAAGGGGGUCAUCCCGACUUACCAACCCGAUGCAAACUGCGAAUACCGGAGAAUGUUAUCACGGGAGACACACGGCGGGUGCUAACGUCCGUCGUGAAGAGGGAAACAACCCAGACCGCCAGCUAAGGUCCCAAAGUCAUGGUUAAGUGGGAAACGAUGUGGGAAGGCCCAGACAGCCAGGAUGUUGGCUUAGAAGCAGCCAUCAUUUAAAGAAAGCGUAAUAGCUCACUGGUCGAGUCGGCCUGCGCGGAAGAUGUAACGGGGCUAAACCAUGCACCGAAGCUGCGGCAGCGACACUAUGUGUUGUUGGGUAGGGGAGCGUUCUGUAAGCCUGUGAAGGUGUGCUGUGAGGCAUGCUGGAGGUAUCAGAAGUGCGAAUGCUGACAUAAGUAACGAUAAAGCGGGUGAAAAGCCCGCUCGCCGGAAGACCAAGGGUUCCUGUCCAACGUUAAUCGGGGCAGGGUGAGUCGACCCCUAAGGCGAGGCCGAAAGGCGUAGUCGAUGGGAAACAGGUUAAUAUUCCUGUACUUGGUGUUACUGCGAAGGGGGGACGGAGAAGGCUAUGUUGGCCGGGCGACGGUUGUCCCGGUUUAAGCGUGUAGGCUGGUUUUCCAGGCAAAUCCGGAAAAUCAAGGCUGAGGCGUGAUGACGAGGCACUACGGUGCUGAAGCAACAAAUGCCCUGCUUCCAGGAAAAGCCUCUAAGCAUCAGGUAACAUCAAAUCGUACCCCAAACCGACACAGGUGGUCAGGUAGAGAAUACCAAGGCGCUUGAGAGAACUCGGGUGAAGGAACUAGGCAAAAUGGUGCCGUAACUUCGGGAGAAGGCACGCUGAUAUGUAGGUGAAGCGACUUGCUCGUGGAGCUGAAAUCAGUCGAAGAUACCAGCUGGCUGCAACUGUUUAUUAAAAACACAGCACUGUGCAAACACGAAAGUGGACGUAUACGGUGUGACGCCUGCCCGGUGCCGGAAGGUUAAUUGAUGGGGUUAGCGCAAGCGAAGCUCUUGAUCGAAGCCCCGGUAAACGGCGGCCGUAACUAUAACGGUCCUAAGGUAGCGAAAUUCCUUGUCGGGUAAGUUCCGACCUGCACGAAUGGCGUAAUGAUGGCCAGGCUGUCUCCACCCGAGACUCAGUGAAAUUGAACUCGCUGUGAAGAUGCAGUGUACCCGCGGCAAGACGGAAAGACCCCGUGAACCUUUACUAUAGCUUGACACUGAACAUUGAGCCUUGAUGUGUAGGAUAGGUGGGAGGCUUGGAAGUGUGGACGCCAGUCUGCAUGGAGCCGACCUUGAAAUACCACCCUUUAAUGUUUGAUGUUCUAACGUUGACCCGUAAUCCGGGUUGCGGACAGUGUCUGGUGGGUAGUUUGACUGGGGCGGUCUCCUCCUAAAGAGUAACGGAGGAGCACGAAGGUUGGCUAAUCCUGGUCGGACAUCAGGAGGUUAGUGCAAUGGCAUAAGCCAGCUUGACUGCGAGCGUGACGGCGCGAGCAGGUGCGAAAGCAGGUCAUAGUGAUCCGGUGGUUCUGAAUGGAAGGGCCAUCGCUCAACGGAUAAAAGGUACUCCGGGGAUAACAGGCUGAUACCGCCCAAGAGUUCAUAUCGACGGCGGUGUUUGGCACCUCGAUGUCGGCUCAUCACAUCCUGGGGCUGAAGUAGGUCCCAAGGGUAUGGCUGUUCGCCAUUUAAAGUGGUACGCGAGCUGGGUUUAGAACGUCGUGAGACAGUUCGGUCCCUAUCUGCCGUGGGCGCUGGAGAACUGAGGGGGGCUGCUCCUAGUACGAGAGGACCGGAGUGGACGCAUCACUGGUGUUCGGGUUGUCAUGCCAAUGGCACUGCCCGGUAGCUAAAUGCGGAAGAGAUAAGUGCUGAAAGCAUCUAAGCACGAAACUUGCCCCGAGAUGAGUUCUCCCUGACUCCUUGAGAGUCCUGAAGGAACGUUGAAGACGACGACGUUGAUAGGCCGGGUGUGUAAGCGCAGCGAUGCGUUGAGCUAACCGGUACUAAUGAACCGUGAGGCUUAACCUUACAACGCCGAAGGUGUUU
rnacentral:rRNA from 1 species